AACGUAGGUGGCAAGCGUUAUCCGGAUUUACUGGGCGUAAAGGGUGUGCAGGCGGGACGACAAGUGGUGUAUGAAAUCUCCCAGCUUAACUGGGAUAGGUUAUGCCAGACUGUCGUUCUAGAGGACGAGAGAGGGGGGUGGAAUUCCGGGUGUAGUGGUGAAAUGCGUAGAGAUCCGGAGGAACCCCAGAGGCGAAGGCGGCCCCCUGGCUCGUACCUGACGCUCAGCCACGAAAGGCAUGGGGAGCGAACGGG
rnacentral:rRNA from 1 species